rnacentral:rRNA from 1 species
CGAGAAGACCCUAUGGAGCUUUAAACGCUUAAAUCAACUAUGUACAUCUACACAUCAAAAGGUACAACUACCAAUACAAUAUUCCUGAUUUAACUGUUUUUGGUUGGGGCGACCGAGG